rnacentral:rRNA from 1 species
AUGGCAUCGGAGAAGCUCGUGGCCAGGAAAGGCAGGCUCAGGCAGCGCUACGACAACGAGUACCGCCUCGUCGCCGGGUGCGUUCCGUACCGCGUGGACAAAGAUGGGCAGCUCGAGGUUCUCAUGGUCUCCACAGCCAACAGGGACGAUCUCGUCUUCCCCAAGGGCGGCUGGGAGGACGACGAGGACGUCUAUGAGGCGGCAUGCCGCGAGGCGCUGGAGGAGGCCGGAGUCAGGGGCAACAUCAAUAGAAACCCGCUGGGCUUGUGGGUGUUCAGGAGCAAGAGCAGACAGAGCCUGGGCCAGAGCAGCGACAGCCCGCGGGGCGCCUGCAAGGGCCACGUCUUCGCGCUGGAGGUCACCGAGGAGCUCAAGCAAUGGCCGGAGCAGGAAACCCACGGAAGGCGGUGGCUCUCCCCAGCGGACGCGUACGGGCUCUGCCGGUACGACUGGAUGCGCGAGGCGCUGACGGCAUUGCUGGACCUUUGUUCGACGGCAUCGUCGUCGAUCCCUGUAGCGGCGGCGGUGGCCGUGAGCACUGCGGCGCCGGAGCUGAACGAGCACGCUGGCAUGUGCAUAAGCAUGAUGCUGAUGAAGCCGGUGGACUCCGCGGAUCGAGCGGUGGCGCUGUGCUGA